UUGACACUAAGGGCGGAGUGACAUAAUUUCAGGAGUGAGGGUUAGGGAGAGGUUUCCCCCUCUCCCUGGUGUUCUUAGUAAGCCUGGAAGCUAAUCACUAAGAGUAUCACCAGUAUGAUGACGUGCUUCAUCAUAACCCUUUCCUUAUU
rnacentral:sRNA from 1 species